rnacentral:rRNA from 1 species
AUUGAACGCUGGCGGCAGGCUUAACACAUGCAAGUCGAGCGGGCGAGGUUGCUUCGGUAACUGAGCUAGCGGCGGACGGGUGAGUAAGGCUUAGGAAUCUGCCUAUUAGUGGGGGACAACAUUCCGAAAGGGAUGCUAAUACCGCAUACGUCAUACGGGAGAAAGCAGGGGCGCUUUAUGACCUAGCGCUAAUCAAAGAGCCUAAGUCGGAUUAGCUAGUUGGUGGGGUAAAGGCUUACCAAGGCGACGAUCUGUAGCGGGUCUGAGAGGAUGAUCCGCCACACUGGGACUGAGACACGGCCCAGACUCCUACGGGAGGCAGCAGUGGGGAAUAUUGGACAAUGGGGGGAACCCUGAUCCAGCCAUGCCGCGUGUGUGAAGAAGGCCUUUUGGUUGUAAAGCACUUUAAGUGGGGAGGAGGCUUACCUGGUUAAUACCUGGGCUAAGUGGACGUUACCCACAGAAUAAGCACCGGCUAACUCUGUGCCAGCCGCCGCAGUAACAC